rnacentral:lncRNA from 1 species
UUUUAACUUUUUUUUUCUUUCCUGUUCCCCAAAUAGAAAAGACUCAACCACAAGAGCCAUGAAAUUUCCCAGAUCUCCAGCAACACCUAGCAGAGUACUUCACAAAGAGUCACCCAUCAUUACUAAUUAGCUGAAAUUCACAAAUCGAAAAGUAGGCGGGAGUUGGCAGCACAUCUCCUAUCUGGAGAGCAUGUGCGCAGUCUCUUUCAGCAUGUAUGAAAGGAGCGGAGACGUAGGAAGACCGCCACAAGUGACUUAUCUCAAACCCUUCCUCGCCAAGCAGGCAGGAGGCUCCACCCCCAACAGGGGGCUUGAAGUCACAGCCCUGAGAUGAAGAGUCCCACGACCUAGUGACUGAGCCAACCAGGUGGCCCUGCAAGGAAUUAAAUUAGUUUGGACUUUGAAGCAACUGAUAAUAGUUGACAAAUGACGAAAACUGAUUGAGAUGACAUUAAAGUACAGGGAAAGGGCUUUUACAGAGCAGGUCUGAAAACAGUGCUCGGAGAAGAAAAAGUAUCACAUACCCAUUCAACUCAUUAAAUUUUUCAAUUUAACGUCAUGUUCCACACCUUUUUCCGGGUUGUGUUGAAUGAAUGGAUGGAUGGAUGAAGGAAGGAAUUUGGGCCCCGUCACUAACUGCAGAGUUAAAUGCAUGCUUUUCUACUCUUAAAACAAAAUCAAAACCUCCAUGAGCAGAUGGUGGAGGCUUCUAUUUUCCAGGAGACAAAGAACCUGGCCUGGACUCUUUAACUCACGACAGCGGG